AGAGCUGGCUUUACAGGUUAUGUUUUACAUCAGGCGCCGCAAAUUGUGCCAGUACACUCGUUGUAGAUAGAGUUAUAAAUUAACAAGAGCCAGCAGUGAGCAUCCACGAGGACUGCGUCGCAAACAUUUCGACGGAAAUAUGUUCAGUAGCGUAAAACAUUCACUAAGAUAUAAUCCAUGUAAAUUCGGUUAUCAAUUGUUGGCGCAGUUGUCAGCGGGAACGACAGCCAAGAGCGAUCCGGCAGCGCGAGAAUGUACACGCAGGUCCCCUUCGAUGUGCGGGCAACCGACGCCGACGACACAUCCCCACUUAAUGAAGCACGGGGAGGUAGUACCAGGUAUAUCACUGCAGGAAUUUAGGAGACGACGCUCCAAGCUGGUAGAAAGUAUCGUACAGGAGAACAACGCAAAAAACAGACAACAAAUCGUCGUCAUACCCGCGUCACCCAAGGUCUACAUGUCCGACAAGAUACCGUAUGUCUUUCGACAAAAUACCGACUUCUUGUACUUCUCCGGAUGCCAAGAGCCGGACAGCGUCUUGGUGCUCACGUGCAAAGAGAAUAGAUCUUCGUCUGUUUUGUUUGUGAGACCAAGGGACAAACAUUCCGAAUUAUGGGAUGGUCCAAGAACCGGCGUCGACAUCGCGGCCGAGAUGUUCGGCACCGAUCACGCUCUACCCGUUGCGCAAUUCGAGCAGUUCCUCGCCUCGCUCCUGCAGAAAGACGCGAAGUCUAUCGUUUGGUACGACAAUGCUGACGUUGUUCAGCCGAUCUUACAUAAGAAACUGUGCCAGUUGAUCGGAUUGACGGACAAUCAAAUAUUCGCCUCCCCCAAGACCUUGUUUCACCAAGCCCGCUUGAUCAAGAGCGCUUGCGAGAUCGAUCUGAUGCGGAGGAGCUGCGAGAUCGCCUCCGAGGCCAUUCGAAGAACGAUUCAGGCCUCGAGACCGGGCAUGAGCGAGCAUCAGUUGUUCGCCACUAUCGAUUACGAGUGUCGUAUGCACGGGGCCGAGUACCUGGCGUAUCCUCCCGUCGUGGCGGCGGGCAAAAAUGCGAACAUAAUACAUUACAUCAGUAACAAUCAAGUUGUACAAAGUGGCGAUUUGGUUCUGAUGGACGCAGGUUGCGAAUACCAUGGCUACACGUCCGACAUAACGAGAACGUGGCCGAUUAGCGGCAAGUUCACACCGGAACAGAAAGUCCUCUACGAAGUGGUGCUCGACCUACAAAAGGAUCUGAUAGAGGGCCUGAAAGAAAUGCCGUCGCUGGACAACACGUACCAUCGCAUGUGCACCCUCCUGGGAGAGAAACUGCGGGAUGUCGGCCUGAUACCGAGGACCAUCACCGAGGACAAAGUGUUCGCUGCCGCGUGCACGUACUGCCCGCAUCACGUGAGUCAUUAUCUGGGAAUGGACGUGCACGACACCGGGAAGAUAUCCAGGAGUAUACAGAUACAGCCUGGAAUGAUAAUAACGAUAGAACCCGGUGUUUACGUGAGCCCGAACAAUCCUUACGCGCCGCCGCACUUUCACGGGUUGGGUAUUCGCAUAGAGGACGACGUCUUGGUGACGGAGAACGGGGCGGAAGUCUUGACGAAAAACUGCCCGAAGGAGGUGGCGGAGAUUCAAGCGUUGGCGAGCCAGAAUCAAGGAUGUUGAUAACGAUACACGACGUGUAGGCGCGAUAUAUUUUUUUAUUCAAAUUUUUAGGAAAAAGUAUAUGUACAAGAUCACGCGUAUACGGCAGAAGUUCAUACAUCUUUUCAAAUUCAAUUGUUCGCAUAAUAUCCAUCUACCUCAUGCUAAGAGCAACGCUGGGGUUCCGUCUAUGCUAAUGUGCGUAUAGAUACAUUCACAUAUGUAUGUGUAAAAAUCCGAAUUUUCUCCUAUUCAUUUCUUGGUUUCCUUAUAGUUGCGCAAUGCACGGCGUCUCGUCUCGAAUUCAUUCGGUGGACGGUUCCCGUUACUCGAAGAUUUGUUCGAGCGGGAACAGAUGAAUAUUACAUACCUGGAACCAA